AUGGAGCUGCUGAUAAAGUGACAGAUCCAAUGGUGAGCCGAUUUCUUUAUGAGAAGGCUUCCAGCAAAGACAAAACUUUAAAGCUCUACGAAGAUGGAUAUCAUUGCAUUUUGGAAGGCGAACCUGAUGAAAUAAUUUUUACCGUAAUCAAUGACAUUAUCUCCUGGCUUGAUUCUCGGUGUACUGUUCACUAAGAAUUACAUUAGAACACUAAGAUUUACAUUGGAGCCGAUUAGGAAAUAAACACCUUNAAGUAAAUAAUUUUACAGAAGUUCAGUAACCAGAAAAUUUAUGAAGCAAAUUGAGUUACCAAUACUGAUAGAAAGCAGAUUCAAAAAGUUUGUAGAGGCCCUCUAUGUUUAUUACCAUUUUUCUUCGCGAAAGCUUCAGUCUUUUUUAUAUUUGCUUUCUCCUGUGUUGGUUUUAAAAUAAUCUAGUGUUCAAUGUCUACAUAAAUUUAAGCUGUAACUCAGCAAGGUAAAGUUUUGUGUUUGUUUUUUAGGAUAAUUCAAGCUGUACAAAUCAUAGUGGAUUAUGUGUAUCUAGGUUGUGUUUAUGCAGUUCAUAUAUCCACAGUCCUAUGUGUUUAGGUAAUCAGAUGGACAUUUCCAGGACUUCUAAAACGUGAUACUUGCUUGAUUGGUCAAUUUUGUCCUUGAUAUUACAAUAUAUUUCUUACAAAGAUUAUCGAGCAAGCACUGGUCUUAAGUUAUGAAAUAUUACAGUACAUUUAUGUUUUUGGUAUUGAUUACUUGUUAACUAGCUAAUAUUUGACUGCACUCUGUAGUUUCACCACCAUAGGCCCAUAGUCACUGAAGAUUGUCACGAAGAAACAUCUUUAUCUAUUAGUCUUCUGUUUUUCUUACAUGUAGCUGUUUGGUUAUAUCUGCAUAUAGCAAUUAAACUUCUAAAGUUUGACCUCACUUCAAUUUCAGGCUUCAUAUAAUGUAAUAUGUUACAAUGACCAGACGCGAUUAAAGACUGCUGUGGAGCUGCUAAAGGCAACAAAUUAUAUUGAAUCCCAACUCAAUAAGGUCUGUAGUACAUUUGAGUUUUUUGUUUACUGUAUGAUGGUACUGGCCACGCAGAGAUCCAUAUUUUCUAGAAUAAAACUAAUUUAUAUGAGAGAUACUGCAGAUAUCUUUACCAAUGCUUAUUCUUCAUGGAGCUGCUGAUAAAGUGACAGAUCCAAUGGUGAGCCGAUUUCUUUAUGAGAAGGCUUCCAGCAAAGACAAAACUUUAAAGCUCUACGAAGAUGGAUAUCAUUGCAUUUUGGAAGGCGAACCUGAUGAAAUAAUUUUUACCGUAAUCAAUGACAUUAUCUCCUGGCUUGAUUCUCGGUGUACUGUUCACUAAGAAUUACAUUAGAACACUAAGAUUUACAUUGGAGCCGAUUAGGAAAUAAACACCUUUUACAUCAUUCAUAGACGAGUAUUCAUUUUAGGCUACAACUUUUUUUUUCUUUAUUAAACUAAAUAACUUCUUUCGGUUAAAGUUAAAGUCGCAGAGCUCUGAUAAUCUGAUAUCUGAAGGUUACUUUGCAUAAUGUUAAUGGCAUUGUUGUAUGGAAGAUGUUAUGGCCAUGUAGUUACCACUCCACAGUUAUAAAUAUUGCUAGCAAGAGUCAGUUAGUAGAACUUCAAACGCAUCAAAAACCUAAAUACAAGAAUUUAAAGAAAGUCCAAGAGAAAACAUUUCAGGA
rnacentral:lncRNA from 1 species